rnacentral:ncRNA from 2 species
CGACGCCGCACGGGAGAGCUUCGACCGGACACGUUCUUUCACCGAACGAGCCCGGGCGAGCGCCGAAGGAGCAGCACCUCUCCGUCAAUCUCUCAGGCACCCGGACCGUGCGGGCUCC